rnacentral:rRNA from 1 species
UACGUAGGCAGCAAGCGUUGUUCGGAAUUACUGGGCGUAAAGAGUGUGUAGGCGGUUCUCUAAGUUCGGGGUGAAAUCUCCCGGCUUAACUGGGAGGGUGCGCCGGAAACUGGAGGGCUUGAGUAUGGGAGAGGAAGGCGGAAUUCCUGGUGUAGCGGUGAAAUGCGUAGAUAUCAGGAGGAACACCGGUGGCGAAGGCGGCAUUCUGGACCGACAUUGACGCUGAGGAGCGAAAGCCAGGGGAGCAAACGGG